UCAAUAAAUGAAAAACAAAGAGGAAUGAGAAGAAAAGAAACAAGUGAAGGAAACAGAAAGGCGCGCGCUUCACUUGCCCUUUGUUCUUUUAUCCUUUGUUUUUCUUCUCUUUCAUUCCACUACUACAUCACAAGGGUUAGGUUUAUCUGGUGUGUUCUGUUUGUUCUGUUCCUCCUUCACAUUCCAUUCGUGCUUUUCAUUACAAUGGAAUGGUGAAGAGAGGAACAAUAACAAAGAGAACACAAGAAAGAUCCAGACCAUGGAUUCGUGUUUGUUCCUUGUUGUUCGUUCUUUUCAUUACAAUGGAGUGAAGAAUGAAA
rnacentral:ribozyme from 1 species